CUCCUCUUUUUAUUAGAAGCGAAAAUCUGAAAAAAAACUAGUAAUAUUUACCCAAUAAAAGUUUCUAUUUUUAACUAUUUUGAAUAAUAGCAGAUCUAAAACUUAAUUAAAUUUUUUAGAUGUGGUCGUAUAAUUUUCAAUAUAUAUUUUUGUAUUUGAGUUAUUUAUAGCAAUUAAAAAUUUUGUAAAAAUACAAUUUGUUAACACAAUCAUCUAUUUUAUGCAGUGGCGUUGAAACCAGCAGUUAUGGGUGGUAGUGUAUACUUGUUGGGUACCUGAGGCAUAUUUUUUAUUAAAUUGGUACGUAUGGAUUAUUAGUUAAG